GUUUUCCAUUAAUAAUCGUCGCCAUCACAUUGGGGGUGAAUAAAACGGAAAGUUAUGGUUACACCUCUUCUGGAAUAUGUUGGGUGCAGCGUCCCGAGUUUUACUACGUGGUUGUUGGACCCGUACUUUUUACGCUGGUUGUCAACUGCACUGUGUUCUUGAUGAUUCUGCACCAGCUGCUACGUUUGUCACGGCUCAGUGGCCAAACCAGCUUAAACGAGAGUUCGACGAAGAGGUUGGCACGAAAUUUCCGCUCAGCCGUCAGUUUGUUUGUUCUGUUGGGUCUCACGUGGGUCUUUGCG